rnacentral:rRNA from 1 species
GGUUCGAUUAUGGCUCAGAUGCAUUGAACGCUGGCGGGAUGCUACACAUGCAAGUCCGAACGGCAGCACGGACUUCGGUCUGGUGGCGAGUGGCGAACGGGUGAGUAAUGUAUGAACGUGCCUAGUAGCGGGGGAUAACUACGCGAAAGCGUAAUACCGCAUACGCCCUUCGGGGGAAAGCGGGGACCUUCGGGCCUCCGCACUAUUAAAACGGCCGAUAUCCAGUUAGCUAGUUGAGGUGAGACAACGGCUCACCAAGGCGACGAUCCGUAGCUGGUUUGAGAAGGGACGACGAAAGCCACACUGGGACGAGACCUGGCCCAGACUCCUACGGGAGGCAGCAGUGGGGGUACGGACAAUGGGGGAAACCCUGAUCCAGCCAUCCCGCGUGUGCGAUGAAGGCCUUCGGGUUGUAAAGCACUUUUUUGGCAGGAAAAGAAACGGCACGGGAUAAUACCCCGUGCAACUGACGGUACCUGCAGAAUAAGCACUGACUAACUACGUGCCAGCAGCCGCGGUAUGCGUAGGGUGCAAGCGUUAAUCGGAAUUACUGGGCGUAAAGCGUGCAGGCGGUUCGGAAAAAGUGUGAAAUCCCAGAGCUUAACUUUGGAACUGCAUUUUUAACUACCGAGCUAGAGUGUGUCAGAGGGAGGUGAAUUCCCGCGUGUAGCUGAUGAAAUGCAGUAUACGGAGGAACACCGAUGGCGAAGGCAGCCUCCUGGGAUAACACUGACGCUCAUGCACGAAAGCAUUGGGAACAAACAGGAUUAGAUACCCUGGUGAUCCGCCCUAAACGAUCAUCAACUAGCUGUUGGGGCCUUCGGGCCUUGGUAGCGCAACUAACGCGUGAGGUUGACCGCCUGGGAAGUACGGUCGCAAAGAUUAACUCAAAGGAAUUGACGGGGGACCCGCACAAGCGGUGGAUGAUGUGGAUUAAUUCGAUGCAACGCAAAAACCUUACCUACCCUUGACAUGUGGAAUCCCGAAGAGAUUUGGGAGUGCUCGCAAGAGAACCGGAACACAGGUGCUGCAUGGCUGUCGUCAGCUCGUGUCGUGAAUCAUUGGGUUAAGUCCCGCAACAAACGCAAACCCUUGUCAUUAGAUUGCUACGAAAGGGCACUCUAAUGAGACUGCCGAUAAACAAACCGGAGGAAGGUGGGGAUGACGUCAAGUCCUCAUGGCCCUUAUGGGUAGGGCUUCACACGUCAUACAAUGGUCGGGACAGAGGGUCGCCAACCCGCGAGGGAGCAAUCCAGAAAACCCGAUCAGCAAAGUCCGGAUCGCAGUCUGCAACUCGUGCGUGAAGUCAGAAUCGCUAUCAAUCGCGGAUCAGCAUGUCGCGGUAGAUAUUACGUUCCCGGGUCUUGUACACACCGCCCGUCACACCGUAAAUUAGGUUUUACCAGAAGUAGUUAGCCCUAACCGUAAGGAGGGCGAUUACCACGGUAGGAUUCAUGACUGGGGUGAAGUCGUAACAAGGUAG